UCCUAAUUGAUAAAAGAAAGGAACCACUGAGGAUGUAGUCCUCUUAGGAAGCAAUGUUUCCAUCUCCUUCUACCUGAUCGGUCAGAUCUGUAUUACAGACCAUGCCUAGUUGAAAGGGAUUCUGGGAAAUGUAGUUCUUUUAAGUCGGAUAUAAUUUCACCAUCACCACUAGCAUCCCACUGCCCCCAAACAACAAUAAUUAGUGCUAUUGCUAAGGAAAAGGAAGAAAUCGGAUAUAAGGGAGACGACAGUAUAUGCCAUCCCUUCAUUUUGGUAUUGUCAUUUUCUUCUGCUACAUGCCAUCACUUGACACAAUUUGUAAUGGUAUAUUCAUUUAUUUACUUGUAAGUUUUUUUCUUUAUUGUCUAUAUAUUGCCCUUUGUCCCCAUAGGAUCUAUGUCUGUUUUACCCACCAAUGUCUACACACCACCUAGCAUCCUGCUUGGUGUCUAGAAGAAAUUUGACAGAUACUGGUUCAUUGACAAUGAAGUGAAUAAUAUUGCCCAGGAGGAGAAGUAGAAAGCCAGAACAUGUAUUUCUCUUGCUUAUCCCAGGCAGGAUCUAAAUAUGCAAAUAUGCCACUUUUCUACAAGAUAACUCACUGUGAGUCAAUUGCAGGACAGACACAAUACAAUGGAGCCCGAAUUUCUCAGGCAAAGAAAUGUGGAUAUGGACAUCUAAGAGCUUUUAGAAUAUAAUUUCAAAGGCAGGACUGAUUCUGUGAAAAGCCAUCAAAUGUACUGUCUGACAGCUGUUCCUGCCCAGCAAAUGAACAGGAUACCUACGACACGGUGACUACCAUGUCAUCAGGGCCAUGAGAUGUACAGAGUUGACCAGGAAGCAACAGAAAUGUAACUCAAAACCUCAAAACAGAAAACCACGUAGCCUAUGACAGUGGUCGCUGGAGUAUAUAUUUUACUCUUGCGGAUUAGAAAAAAAUCUCAAGCCGUCAAAGAUAGAAAAGAAAAACUGGGGAAAACAAAGAAUUGAAAUCAACAUAUAAGAGACAAGACUACAAUUGCUACAUUUAUAGUAUUAGAAGGAAAAAAAAAACACUUCAAGGUGAGGGAAAAAAAACUGGAUCAGAGUUCAGAAAUCCCUCCAGGGCAUGAGCAAAAUGAAGUGAGAGACUCCUAGGUAGGAAGAUAAUACCAUGCCUGAAGUUAGCAAAGUUCUAGACGUGAUAUAACAGAGAUAUCAUGCAGUUGAAAAACAAUUCCUGGGGUCACGUCAUACAGAUGGUUGCCCCACACCGCUCCAGGAAUUCAAACCAAGACGGCAUUCUGGGGGAGGCUGGACAAGGAACAAAUGGCUCUGUUGUAAAAGUUAAAUGAGAUUCCAUGCCUGCCACUCCAAUGGCUCAGGGCACACCUCUAACUAUUUUUUUUUUUUUAUUUGAGGUGGAGUCUCAGUCUGUCACCCAGGCUGGAGUCCAGUGGUGUGAUCUCAGCUCACUGCAAGCUCUGCCUCUCGGGUUCACGCCAUUCUCCUGCCUCAGCCUCCCGAGUAGCUGGGACUACAGGCGCCCACCACCACGCCCGGCUAAUUUUUUGUAUUUUUAGUAGAGAUGGGGUUUCACCGUGUUAGCCAGGAUGGUCUCGAUCUCCUGAUCUCGUGAUCCGCCCGCCUCAGCCUCCCAAAGUGCUGGGAUUACAGGGGUGAGCCACCGUGCCUGCCCCAAUUUGUUUAUUUUUAAUUGGUCCUCAGCAGCAUCACCAUAGGAAUAGGAAAAACUAAAGUGGACCUGCGUCAGGACACCAUCAUCCACAAAAACCCAGCCUUGUUCCCUCAGGCUGCAACGGGCAGUAGGUUGGGGGACUACUUUAACAAGGGAAAACGAUGGCAACAACGGACAGGCAAAAUCUCCCAUGCUUUCUGAGGAAAUAGACGUAAAAAAAACAUGGAAGAAAAUAUUCAUUAAAUUUUUGUGUCUUAGCAAUUGCAGAUAUAAAUUAAGGUGCAUUUAAAAUGCCACCUUAAGAUGUCUGAUGUGUCCUGGGUGGGAUGAGUGUAUGCAUGUAUCGCACCUUGUAUUAUGUAAUGACUAGGCUGCUUGGUUCUACUGGAAUAUUCUGCCACACCCGUAUUCAACAUCCAACAGAUCUGUACUGAACACCUGCUGUAUACAUGGAAUGAUUCUAAGUCCUGGGGAUAGAACAGUGAAUACAGCAGACAAAAUUUCUGCCUUCAUGGAACUUAUAUUCUUAUUAGCAAGAUAGAAAAAAAUGUACAAUAUACAUCCUAUAUAAGCACUAUAGAGAAAAUAAAGAAUAUAGCAGGGUAAAUUAAACCACUUGUGAUAGGAGCAAUAUUUGAGAUAGGUCACUUAGACAAACCCUCUCCGAGAGGAAUUGAGCCAUGAUACAUAUACCACCGUAUAUAAAUACUAUCUAGGACAGAGGGAAUAGCCAGGGCAAAAGCCCCUGUGCUUAUUAUAUUCAAGAACCACUGUGAGGCCAAAGAAAUGACAGACACUUGGACCAGCAUGCUGUCCAUGGAGUUGUGAGAAGUGUUUAGUAAUAAGUGAAAUACAUUUUGAAGGUAAAGUUGGCAUAGCAUGACUUCUUUCUUUCUAACCCAGAAACCCCACACACCAGAUUUCCUUUCUCAUAUGGACAUUUGUGACAGGCUCUCUAAAUUGAAUCCCCUUAGGCUAUUAACUGAAAGGAGCAUGGUGCUUAAAAAAGAGAAAGUAGAGAAUUAGCUCAUUAUGUGAUGCCUUUAGUAUUUAAUUCAUUCCUGUGACCAUUCUUUCACUCAUUCCUCUUGAAAGCACUUGCUUAGCAUCUAAUACAUCUUCAGCACCUGCUGGGCCUUAGAGGAGAAAAAUGAGCAAGGCACAAUCCCUGCAUCCAAGGACACAAUCUUGCUGAUGAAGAAAGACUGACAAACAGAUGAUUACAGGACAAUAUGGUAAAUGCAGCCAUCAUCAUUUAUGUGAAUGCUCUACAUGAUUUGAAGAUAGAGGGUCAGCUAGGGGACUCACAGGAAGUGAGAAUCCGGAUCAAAUAACAUCAAUUAGGAAGAGAAGAUGGCCUGGUAAAGUCAGGGAAGGAACCAGAAUGGGAAGAAGGAGAGGAGUGAGGGAAUUCUAGCAGAAGGAAACCUGAUUAGAGGCAUGAAUGGGUUGUGGGGAGGGCAUAGCACAUACAGGGGAUAUUAGGUUUGGUGCUGCUAAUAAAAUGGUGUUUCUCAUAAUUAACAAAUGACUAUAUGCCUUGCUAAAUACAUAGAUUUUCAGAUCCCUCUCUGGGAGAUGCUGAUUCAGCAGGUGCAUGGUGGGAAGUGGGCGUGUGCAUCUUCACAAGUACCAGAGGAAUUGUGAUCACUGGGAAGUCUGAGAUUUACCGUAUUAGAGGUUAAAGAGUUGGGGGUGGGCAUGCAACUGGAAGGAGGGACCGGAUUAGAAGAGCCAUACAUAGAAUGCGUCAUGGACAAGAACCAGGGAGUUUAUUCUAUGUGUCAACAGUUAAAUUUCAUAACACAAUUUUUAAAAAAGAAGAAAGGGAAGAAAGGAGGAAGAGGUACAUGUAAGGCAGAAGGAGUGGAGAAUUCAGAUUAGGGGAUUAACACAGGAUAAUUAUAUUUCAUUUUGGCAAGGAAGAAAUAAACUAGAAAUAACACCACCGCCCAAACAAAAAACAAUAAAAAUAUUGUAUUAGUUUUCUGUUGCUGCCAUAACAAAUUACCACAAACUUCAUGGUUUAAAGUAGCACAACUUUAUUAUCGUACAGUAUUUGUGAUCACAGUUCGGACAUGGGUCUCCCUCAGCUAAAACCAAGGUGUCGACAGGGCUGCACUCCAUUCUGAAAGCUCUAGGAGGAACUUUGUUUCUUGCCUUUUCCGGCUUGCAGAGGCUGCUCUUAUACCAUGGUUCAUGGUGCCUUCCUCCAUGGGAAGCCAGCAAGGAUGGGAUAGAUAAGUCCCUUUCACAUCAGAUCACUCUGAUCCCCUUUCCAUAAUCACAUCCCUUUCUCUGACGAAAACUGAGAGAUGUUCUCCACUUUAAAGGAUUCAUGUAGCCCCAUUUGAAUAAUCCAAGAUAAAUUCCCUGCCUCCAUGGCUUUAACUUAAUCCCAUCUGCAAAGUCCCUUUGCCAUGGAAGAUAACACAGUAAUCGAGCUCAGGUUCUGGGGAUUAAGAAGUGGGUACUUGGUGUGUGUGUUGGCAGGGAGGAGGACAGCAUUAUUUGGCAAACCAUAAAUAUAUUAGAUUGGGAAAAAAUCUAGCUUCAUGGAAACCCCCUUCCAUUCUCCUUCGUUUCCUCACCUCACUUUGGACCUGCAAUGGCCUCCUUAGGAACCAGGUGCCAUCAGCAUCCAGUGAAGGGUUUUAAGCUUAGAGUCAUAGGAUCUCAUCUCUUUCAGUGAAGAAGAGGAUUCUCCAAGUAUCCAGUUAACUCAUACCUUAUAUAAUUAUUUAGAGGUGAUUUGAUUUUUUAAAAUUCCCAAUUAAACUUGGCAAAUUUCUCCAGUAUUAUUUUAUACUCAGCGUAAGUUGAUGUCCUUAAGAAUGAAGCUUUCAGUAGCUUUGCCUUAGACAGUCUAUGUAUUUCACAUUUGUAACAAGCAGUAAUUUUCCAGGUGAAAUUUAUGCAUAGGUGAUUUUACCUUUUCAAGAGGACGAUUUUGCAAGUUUGUUGGUGCAGACAAAUAAACAAAAGCUGGCCUGUGCAAGUAUAUUAGUCCCUUCUUCCAAAGAAAAAAAAAAUGUCUCACUGCAUAAUAAAUGAAUCUAAAGGGAGUGAAGGAAGCUUCAUUUAGAGUCAAGAAGGAGCACAGAUACUUGACAAUAUUUAAUAGCUGAGAGAAAUGACUGAACUCAGCACAAAGCCUGCUGCCUCUUCAUCAUUCCAGAGUUUGCAAGCUUUGUUACAUUCCUUUAUGACAGAUGCGGUUUUUACUUUUGUGGCUUCCUUUGAUUUUGUUUCUAAGUAAUUUUCCCCCAACUCCAUACUUCUCUUAAGACUCCACAAAGUUACCACUUAGCCCAGAAGUCAAAGAGAGAGUACAAGUGAAAGAGAACAUCUGGUUGUCCAAGCCAAUAUUACUGGGCUUAGCUGUUUGGGAUUCAGCCAAAGAAAAGAGAAGCAGAAAUGAAGGUCUGUGUUCUGUGUUUCCUCAAUUUUUUUUCUGUUCUAGCAGUUGUCUUCUGAAGGAAUGAUAGAAGUCCUUUCUACAUAGAUUCUGCAGAAUGAACUACUAAAUGUUUUCUCCUCAUGGAAAAUGUAACUUUUUAAAAUAAAAAGUAUGACAGAAUACAAGAAAAGAUAUUAUUUACACUGCUACUACUCAUAAUUAAGCACUUGUAAUAGUUGAUUUUAUGUCAGUUUGACUAAGCUAAGGAAUGCCAAGAUGGCUUAUCAAAUAUUAUUUCUGGGUGUGCCCAUGAGGGUAUUUUCAGAAGAGAUCAACAUUUGAAUCAGUAGACUGAGUAAAUUAAAAAAAAAGUUUAAAACAAAGAUGUGUAGUACAUUGUUUUCUCUAAAUCAAUAAUGCUCAUUAUAAAUAAAUAGUCUGUGAAAAAACGAAAAUAUAAAAUUUAAAAAUAGCUCCAAAUUCAACCACGCAAAAAUAGCAUAAGUAACAUGGCACAAACAGCAUUCCAAGUAUCUUCCUAUAAACCUACAUGGAUAGGUGGUUGAAUGGGUUAGUGGGUGAUGAUUGGAAGAAAAAAAAAGAAAAGCUCCAGGGAAAUGUUAUGUUUUGG
rnacentral:lncRNA from 1 species